CCCUUAGAUGUUCUGGGCCGCACGCGCGCUACACUGACGGAUUCAACGAGCUUACAACCUUGGCCGAAAGGUCUGGGUAAUCUCCAAAAUCCGUCGUGAUGGGGAUAGAUUAUUGCAAUUAUUAAUCUUCGACGAGGAAUGCCUAGUAAGCGCAAGUCAUCAGCUUGCGUUGAUUACGUCCCUGCCCUUUGUACACACCGCCCGUCGCUCCUACCGAUUGAAUGGUCCGGUGAAGCGUUUGGACUAUGGUUUUCUGAUGGUCCGCCGUUGGAUUACCGUGGGAAGUUCGUUAAACCUUAUCAUUUAGAGGAAGGAGAAGUCGUAACA
rnacentral:rRNA from 1 species